AUAACCAAGUUUUGCUAUGGAAAUCCAUCUUUGAGAAUGAGGAACUCUUUCCCACCUGAGAUACUAAGGGAUGCAUAAUGAAGCGAUAUCAAUAAUACUCGGUCUGGACCUGAUUCCAUUCAUGGAGGAACUUAUCUCUCAGCCUACAGGAAAGACUCCACAUGAAUAAGGAUCCCUUCUUCUGAGAAAUCCUUGGGAAUAACUGUUCAUUUCUGGAUGAAGGAUGUCAACCAGUUGCCUGGACUCAAUUCCUCACAAAGUCAAAUAGUCUCCAGGAAUCUGGUGACAUUUGGUUACUCGUGGUGAAGCUAGGGGUCUCUUUCAAAAUGAGGCAUCAAAGGAGGAUGCUUAACUGGGAUGCAUCUGGAAGACAGGUCUGUGGGAAGAGGCCUCCCAGUGGAAGUAUCAGUUUCUUCUUUGACUGUGGUUUUUCACUCCUCGUCAGUCUGAAAUUGGCCUGGAAAUAAGCUGCUGUUUCAAGAACAAAGGUCUGUAGUGAGAGGAAAAUUCUGCUCAGAGUGGCUGCAUGGCAUGCACCAUCGUAAAGGAGUGCCUGACUUUGAUUGGCUGUCUUGACCAAUGGUUUGCCAGUCACCGAGGUUCUUCAUUCAAGGAAGUGUUCUUGGUCUGGAAGGCAAGCAGGACCUUCAGCAAUGCAUGCAGUUGUCCUCGCAAGGCAUUGUUGAAAUGGAGGAAAAUACUCCUUGCGAUCAUCUUGGCAUGCUGUUUAAGGAGCCCCAUACUUCUUUUUCAAAUAGAGGGUGAAAACACUUUUGACCUGAUCUAAGGAAAGAGAGAUUCGUUCUUUUUUAAUAAUAAUCAAUGUAUCUGUGGCUCAUGAUGUAAAUGGACAUGUCCUCUGCUGAACCCUCUCUUGAAACUUAGAGAGGUUUGAAUGGUGGCACAAAAUAAAGAGAAUCCACUGCUGUGCUGAUGUGGGGGUGCCCACAACUCAAAUAUUAAUGUCUAAAAUUUUUCCUACCACCACCUUUCUUCAGAAAUCAAAAUAUGAGAACACACUUGUUAAAUCACUGGCAAAAUGCCCCAUAACCAAGAUUUUUUAUGGAAAUCCAUCUUUGAGAUUGAGGAUCUGUUUCCCACCUGAGCUACUAAGGGAAGCAUAUCCAAGUGACAUCAAUAGUACCCUGUCUGGACUUGACUCCAUUCAUGGAGGAACUUCUGUCUCAGCCUACAGGAAAGACUCCACAUGAGUAGGAAAUAUUUGGAAGUAAGGUCUGUGUGAAGAGGCCUCCCAGUGGAAGUAUCAGUUUCCUCUUUCACACGACAUCUUUGACUGCUCUUCUUCCUGAAACUGGCCUAGAAAUAAGCUGUUAUUCAAAGAACAAAGGCUGUAACACGGUGGAUGGACACAGAUACUCUUGAAUUGAAAUAUUCUCCCAAACGCUGUUCCUGCUUGACUUGUGUGGCACAUUCUCAGAAUGGCUGCAUGGCAUGCACCAUCAUAGAGGAAUGCAUCACUUCAAUUGUUUGUCAUGACCAAUGUUUUACCAGUCACCGAGGGUCAACAAUCAACGGGGUGUUCUUGGACUUGGAGGCAAGCUGGACCUGAACCAAUGCAUGC